GGCAGAAUUUAAGGAAAGAUUCCUGUCCUCUUCGAACCAUUCCAGAUUAAUGAAGAGUUCCGCAGGUGCACUGCUGUUCCACUGGAAUCAACAUUUAUAUCCCAGCUGGAGAGGUACACUCCAAAGCUCCUGGAGCUCUGCAGUGCAAAAGGAGGAGUGACUGGUCAGCGCAUCAAGAACUUGUUAAUGGAACUGAUACAGGACCCAAGUGCUUCUGCAGUGAUGAAGAGAGAUGUGGCUCUGAGAUGCCUCAUAGAGUACAUGGGAGAGAGUGGACAGGAGCUAAUCUCUGACUAUGUGUAAGUAUUGUUUAAAAGCAGGUUUGGAUCAGUCUGAUGUACAAGCUUAAAUUGGGUUGACUUUUAUGUGAGCUGACUGAACCAGCAGUUGUCAGGUGGA